rnacentral:rRNA from 1 species
UACGUAGGGGGCAAGCGUUAUCCGGAUUCACUGGGUGUAAAGGGAGCGUAGACGGCCAUGCAAGCCUGGAGUGAAAGCCCGGGGCCCAACCCCGGGACUGCUCUGGGAACUGCACGGCUGGAGUGCGGGAGGGGCAGGCGGAAUUCCUGGUGUAGCGGUGAAAUGCGUAGAUAUCAGGAGGAACACCGGCGGCGAAGGCGGCCUGCUGGACCGCGACUGACGUUGAGGCUCGAAAGCGUGGGGAGCGAACAGG